AUAGAAAAUAAGACGAGUUACAUCAUUAGUCCAGAUACCCUCUCAUUUGAAUUAUUAUCAUAUUGAGGACAGUGCAGAUAUUGCAGAUAUUUUAGCAUCUCGCAGUUAUAGUUCUCAGACUGCAAAACAUACAGGUCUGGCAUGGAUGGCUACUUAACAGUUCCCAAAGACAUUUGUAGAGUUACAGUAAUAAGUGUGUUUGGGAAUUAAAGAGUAGCCACACUCAGACGCUGCCAUCUAGUGGUUGCUGCAUGCUCCUGUGGCAAUGCAGUCUAUAUA